CUACGGGGGGCAGCAGUGAGGAAUAUUGCACAAUGGGGGGAACCCUGAUGCAGCAACGCCGCGUGGAGGAUGACGCAUUUCGGUGUGUAAACUCCUUUUAUAUGCCAAGAAAAUGACGGUAGCAUAUGAAUAAGCACCGGCUAACUCCGUGCCAGCAGCCGCGGUAAUACGGAGGGUGCAAGCGUUACUCGGAAUCACUGGGCGUAAAGGACGCGUAGGCGGGUUGGAAAGUCAGGUGUGAAAUCCUACAGCUUAACUGUAGAACUGCACUUGAAACUUCUAAUCUAGAGUAUGGGAGGGGGAGAUGGAAUUAGUGGUGUAGGGGUAAAAUCCGUAGAUAUCACUAGGAAUACCUAAAGCGAAGGCGAUCUCCUGGAACAUUACUGACGCUAAGGCGUGAAAGCGUGGGGAGCAAAUAGGAUUAGAUACCCCCGUAGUC
rnacentral:rRNA from 1 species